rnacentral:rRNA from 1 species
GACAGAGGGUGCAAACGUUGUUCGGAUUUACUGGGCGUAAAGCGUGUGUAGGCGGCUUUGUAUGUCGGAUGUGAAAGCCCACGGCUCAACCGUGGAAGUGCAUCCGAAACUGCAUAGCUUGAGUCCCGGAGAGGAAGGUGGAAUGCUUGGUGUAGAGGUGAAAUUCGUAGAUAUCAAGCAGAACACCUGCGGCGAAGGCGGCCUUCUGGACGGUGACUGACGCUGAGACAACGAAAGCGUGGGGAGCAAACAGGG